rnacentral:rRNA from 1 species
AUUGAACGCUGGCGGCAGGCCUAACACAUGCAAGUCGAGCGGCAGCACUUCGGGUGGCGAGCGGCGGACGGGUGAGUAACACGUAGGAAUCUACCUAGUAGUGGGGGAUAGCCCGGGGAAACUCGGAUUAAUACCGCAUACGCUCUACGGAGGAAAGGGGGCUUCGGCUCUCGCUAUUAGAUGAGCCUGCGUCGGAUUAGCUAGUUGGUAGGGUAAAGGCCUACCAAGGCUACGAUCCGUAACUGGUCUGAGAGGAUGAUCAGCCACACCGGAACUGAGACACGGUCCGGACUCCUACGGGAGGCAGCAGCGGGGAAUAUUGCGCAAUGGGCGAAAGCCUGACGCAGCCAUGCCGCGUGUGUGAAGAAGGCCUUCGGGUUGUAAAGCACUUUCAGUGGGGAGGAAAGAGCCCAGGCUAAUACCCUGGGUCGUUGACGCUACCCACAGAAGAAGCACCGGCUAAUUCCGUG